UUCAAAGUGUUGUUACUUUAAAGUGUUGUUACUGACCUUUUUCUCUUUUAUUUUCUUUACCUCACCUGUAACUGCUGAGACCCUGAGGAACAUGCACACUGACCUGCUCUGGCAACCUGAUUUCCACUCUCCAUCCAUCACCAUUCUCUGUUCCUGCAGGUCCUGCUUGCUAAUCAAUGCUCAUAUUUUUUACACAAUUACAAAUAAAGUCAAUGUAUUGUAUGACAUGAAGUUGUGCUUCAUUCUGAGUCAAUAAUAAAUUCAUUCUGCCUUCAA